UACGUAGGGUGCAAGCGUUGUCCGGAAUUAUUGGGCGUAAAGAGCUCGUAGGCGGCUUGUCGCGUCGGCUGUGAAAACCUGGGGCUCAACCCCGGGCCUGCAGCCGAUACGGGCAGCUAGAGUGUUGCAGGGGAGACUGGAAUUCCUGGUGUAGCGGUGAAAUGCGCAGAUAUCAGGAGGAACACCGGUGGCGAAGGCGGGUCUCUGGGCAACAACUGACGCUGAGGAGCGAAAGCGUGGGGAGCGAACAGG
rnacentral:rRNA from 1 species